rnacentral:rRNA from 1 species
GACGAACGCUGGCGGCGUGCCUAAUACAUGCAAGUCGAACGCACAGUUUAUACCGUAGCUUGCUACACCAUAGACUGUGAGUUGCGAACGGGUGAGUAACGCGUAGGUAACCUGCCUGGUAGCGGGGGAUAACUAUUGGAAACGAUAGCUAAUACCGCAUAAUAUUGAUUAUUGCAUGAUAAUUAAUUGAAAGGUGCAAUUGCACCACUACCAGAUGGACCUGCGUUGUAUUAGCUAGUAGGUGAGGUAACGGCUCACCUAGGCGACGAUACAUAGCCGACCUGGGAGGGUGAUCGGCCACACUGGGACUGAGACACGGCCCAGACUCCUACGGGAGGCAGCAGUAGGGAAUCUUCGGCAAUGGACGAAAGUCUGACCGAGCAACGCCGCGUGAGUGAAGAAGGUUUUCGGAUCGUAAAGCUCUGUUGUAAGAGAAGAACGGGUGUGAGAGUGGAAAGUUCACACUGUGACGGUAUCUUACCAGAAAGGGACGGCUAACUACGUG